GAUGAACGCUGGCGGCGUGCCUAAUACAUGCCAGUCGAGCGAACAGACGAGGAGCUUGCUCCUCUGACGUUAGCGGCGGACGGGUGAGUAACACGUGGAUAACCUACCUAUAAGACUGGGAUAACUUCGGGAAACCGGAGCUAAUACCGGAUAAUAUAUUGAACCGCAUGGUUCAAUAGUGAAAGACGGUUUUGCUGUCACUUAUAGAUGGAUCCGCGCCGCAUUAGCUAGUUGGUAAGGUAACGGCUUACCAAGGCGACGAUGCGUAGCCGACCUGAGAGGGUGAUCGGCCACACUGGAACUGAGACACGGUCCAGACUCCUACGGGAGGCAGCAGUAGGGAAUCUUCCGCAAUGGGCGAAAGCCUGACGGAGCAACGCCGCUUGAGUGAUGAAGGUCUUCGGAUCGUAAAACUCUGUUAUUAGGGAAGAACAAAUGUGUAAGUAACUAUGCACGUCUUGACGGUACCUAAUCAGAAAGCCACGGCUAACUACGUG
rnacentral:rRNA from 1 species